GGAAAACUCACCAGGUCCAGACAUAGUAAGGAUUAACAGAUUGAUAGCUCUUUCUUGAUUCUAUGGGUGGUGGUGCAUGGCCGUUCUUAGUUGGUGGUGUGAAUUGUCUGCUUAAUUGCGUUAACGAACGAGACCUUGACCUACUAAAUAGUCACAAGUAUCUCCGGAUAUCUGAUGGCUUCUUAGCGGGACUUUGCGCAUUUCAGCGUAAGGAAGUUCGAGGCAAUAA
rnacentral:rRNA from 1 species